rnacentral:rRNA from 1 species
CCCUUAGAUGUCCGGGGCCGCACGCGCGCUACACUGAAGGAAUCAGCGUGGCUUUCUCCCUGACCCGAAAGGGUUGGGAAACCCGUUGAAUCUCCUUCGUGAUAGGGAUUGGGGCUUGAAAUUGUUCCCCAUGAACUAGGAAUUCCCAGUAAGCGCGAGUCAUAAGCUCGCGUUGAUUACGUCCCUGCCCUUUGUACACACCGCCCGUCGCUACUACCGAUUGAACGGUUUAGUGAGGGCCUCGGAUUGGUCUCGGCCCGCUCUUUACCGGGCGGCGCCGUUGGUCGAGAAGACGCUCGAACUUGAUCGUUUAGAGGAAGUAAAAGUCGUAACA